rnacentral:rRNA from 1 species
AGCGAACGCUGGCGGCAGGCCUAACACAUGCAAGUCGAACGAACUCUUCGGAGUUAGUGGCGGACGGGUGAGUAACACGUGGGGACGUGCCUUUAGGUUCGGAAUAACUCAGGGAAACUUGUGCUAAUACCGAAUGUGCCCUUCGGGGGAAAGAUUUAUCGCCUUUAGAGCGGCCCGCGUCUGAUUAGCUAGUUGGUGAGGUAAAGGCUCACCAAGGCGACGAUCAGUAGCUGGUCUGAGAGGAUGAUCAGCCACAUUGGGACUGAGACACGGCCCAAACUCCUACGGGAGGCAGCAGUGGGGAAUCUUGCGCAAUGGGCGAAAGCCUGACGCAGCCAUGCCGCGUGAAUGAUGAAGGUCUUAGGAUUGUAAAAUUCUUUUACCGGGGACGAUAAUGACGGUACCCGGAGAAGAAGCCCCGGCUAACUUCGUGCCAGCAGCCGCCGUAA